CACGGGGGGAGCAAGCGUUGUUCGGAAUCACUGGGCGUAAAGGGCGUGUAGGCGGUCAGGUAAGUGGGAUGUGAAAUCCCUCGGCUCACCCGAGGACCGGCAUCCCAAACUGCCUGGCUUGAGUAUGGGAGAGGAUGAGGGAAUUCCUGGUGUAGCGGUGAAAUGCGUAGAUAUCAGGAGGAACACCGGUGGCGAAGGCGCUCAUCUGGCCCAAUACUGACGCUGAGGCGCGAAAGCUAGGGGAGCAAACGGG
rnacentral:rRNA from 1 species